GGCAUGCAGGACGCUGCCUCCGUGUCGUGGCCAGGACGUCAUUGAGCCCCUGCCAUUCGGUACAAACAAUGGAAGGAGGAGAGAGGGAGCCGUCGGCUCAGAACAGGUGGUGAGGAGAUGAGGGUCUGAGCAGUUUUCCGAGAUCCCCAGAAUACGGAAGGCUUGUGGUGCAUGUGGGAGAACUGACAAGUGUACCAGAAGCCAUAUUAGCGUGGACGACGAGACAUUGCCCUUAACCACUAACAGUCGGUGGGGAUUCGUAUGAAAGCGGCCACAAGACUGGACUGCUCUCCAGGUCUUGGGGCAAAGAGGCCAGCUGAGACGCAGCCCCAGAAAGGUCUCCAGUACUUG